rnacentral:rRNA from 1 species
GCUGGAAUCGCUAGUAAUCGCAGAUCAGAAUGCUGCGGUGAAUACGUUCCCGGGUCUUGUACACACCGCCCGUCACACCAUGGGAGUUGGAAAUGCCCGAAGCCAGUGACCCAACCGUAAGGAGGGAGCUGUCGAAGGUGGAGCCGAUGACUGGGGUGAAGUCGUAACAAGGUACC